rnacentral:rRNA from 1 species
UACGUAGGUGGCAAGCGUUGUCCGGAUUUACUGGGCGUAAAGCGUAUGCAGGCGGAUGAGUAAGUAGGAAGUGAAAGGUGGGAGCUCAACUCCCAGACUGCUCCCUAUACUGCUUGUCUUGAGUGCCGGAGAGGAAGAUGGAACGACACGUGUAGCGGUGAAAUGCGUUGAGAUGUGUCGGAACACCAAUGGCGAAAGCAGUCUUCUGGACGGAUACUGACGCUGAGAUACGAAAGCCAAGGGAGCGAACAGG